rnacentral:rRNA from 1 species
GAUGAACGCUGGCGGCGUGCUUAACACAUGCAAGUCGAACGGAAAGGCUCCUGCUUGCAGGGGUACUCGAGUGGCGAACGGGUGAGUAACACGUGGGUGAUCUGCCCUGCACUUCGGGAUAGGCCUGGGAAACUGGGUCUAAUACCGGAUAGGACCACAUUUUGGAUGGUGUGGUGGAAAGUUUUUCGGUGUGGGAUGAGCUCGCGGCCUAUCAGCUUGUUGGUGGGGUAAUGGCCUACCAAGGCGUCGACGGGUAGCCGGCCUGAGAGGGUGUACGGCCACAUUGGGACGGAGAUACGGCCCAGACUCCUACGGGAGGCAGCAGUGGGGAAUAUUGCACAAUGGGCGCAAGCCUGAUGCAGCGACGCCGCGUGGGGGAUGACGGCCUUCGGGUUGUAAACUCCUUUCGCUAGGGACGAAGCGUUUUUGUGACGGUACCUGGAGAAGAAGCACCGGCUAACUACGUG